CAGCAGUUCAAGUUGCAUCCCUUUUUAUUGGGUCUAAAACAUCCGUAGCUUGCCAUUUAAGUCUCUUGUGAAAUCCUACGUCUCAAGCGUAGUGAAGUGCAGGAGAUACUGAAUGGCUAGAGAUCGGUAGACGUAAGGAGUACGCCGGAGGUAACGGUAAAAUGUGUUAAUCUUCGGUGGACUAACAAUCAGCGAAGGCACCUUACGAGGACGAAUCUGACAGUGAGGGACGAAAGCCAGGGGGGCAAACCGGAUUAGAUACCCGAGUAGUCC
rnacentral:rRNA from 1 species